rnacentral:rRNA from 1 species
GAUGAACGCUGGCGGCGUGCCUAAUACAUGCAAGUCGAGCGAACAGAUAAGGAGCUUGCUCCUUUGACGUUAGCGGCGGACGGGUGAGUAACACGUGGAUAACCUACCUAUAAGACUGGGAUAACUUCGGGAAACCGGAGCUAAUACCGGAUAACAUAUUGAACCGCUUGGUUCAAUAGUGAAAGGCGGCUUUGCUGUCACUUAUAGAUGGAUCCGCGCCGUAUUAGCUAGUUGGUAAGGUAACGGCUUACCAAGGCAACGAUACGUAGCCGACCUGAGAGGGUGAUCGGCCACACUGGAACUGAGACACGGUCCAGACUCCUACGGGAGGCAGCAGUAGGGAAUCUUCCGCAAUGGGCGAAAGCCUGACGGAGCAACGCCGCGUGAGUGAUGAAGGUCUUCGGAUCGUAAAACUCUGUUAUCAGGGAAGAACAAAUGUGUAAGUAAUUGUGCACAUCUUGACGGUACCUGAUCAGAAAGCCACGGCUAACUACGUG